AUCCAACUGAAGAGUCUCAAAUAGGAAGAAAUGAGCGUUCUGGAU
rnacentral:hammerhead_ribozyme from 1 species